rnacentral:rRNA from 1 species
CCUACGGGAGGCAGCAGUGAGGAAUAUUGGUCAAUGGGCGAGAGCCUGAACCAGCCAAGUCGCGUGAAGGAUGACGGCCCUACGGGUUGUAAACUUCUUUUGUCAGGGAGUAAUUGGGUCCACGCGUGGGCUUAGCGAGAGUACCUGAAGAAAAAGCAUCGGAUAACUCCGUGCCAUCAGCCGCGGUAUUACGGGGGAUGCGAGCGUUAUCCGGUUUUAUUGGGUUUAAAGGGUGGGUAGGCGGCAUUUCAAGUCAGCGGUAAAAAUUCGGGGCGAAACCCCGUCGUGCCGUUGAAACUGAUGUUCUUGAGUGGGCGAGAGGUAUGCGGAAUGCGUGGUGUAGCGGUGAAAUGCAUAGAUAUCACGCAGAACUCCGAUUGCGAAGGCAGCAUACCGGCGCCCAACUGACGCUGAAGCACGAAAGCGUGGGUAUCGAACAGGAUUAGAUACCCUUGUAGUC